CGAUGAAGGCUCUAGCACAAAUAAAUAAUAGGUUUAAUUAACCUUCAAUUCAGAGGAAAUUGAGAUGAAUAGAAAGACUCUCUCAGUCUGGCCCAGGUCUAGGUCUAGAUUUGGAUCAAUUUCCAAGUCAAAUCUAUCCACUUAAUUUGAUCUAAUUGAAUUGGAUCCAGUAAAAAGGUUAGGUUAACCAAAAUAUUACAUCCAUUUCUCUUCCUCUCUCUCUCUCUCUCAUUUCUUUUUUUCUCUCUUGGCCGAACCCAAAACCACUCGAGUUUUAGGGCAAUCGGAGGGUGGGAUCGACUGCGAUGCAGCCAAAAUGGUCGACAGCUAUCACGACGACAUCGGGGGUGGCGGUCUGGCCUGACAACCAUAGGAGGUCUGAAGGUAAGGGAGGAAAAGGGCUCUGCCCUUCAUGUAAAGGCAAUGAUUCCUAAGGCCGAAAGG
rnacentral:lncRNA from 1 species